rnacentral:rRNA from 1 species
UACAGAGGUCUCAAGCGUUGUUCGGAUUCAUUGGGCGUAAAGGGUGUGUAGGUGGCGCCGUAAGUCGGGUGUGAAAUUUCGGAGCUUAACUCCGAAACUGCAUUCGAUACUGCGGUGCUUGAGGACUGGAGAGGAGACUGGAAUUCACGGUGUAGCAGUGAAAUGCGUAGAUAUCAGGAAGAACACCCGUGGCGAAGGCGGCUCUCUGGAACGCAACUGACGCUGAGACGCGAAAGCGUGGGGAGCAAACAGG